GAUGAACGCUAGCGGCAGGCCUAAUACAUGCAAGUCGAGGGGCAGCGUCACCUUCGGGUGGACGGCGACCGGCGCACGGGUGCGUAACGCGUAUGCAACCUACCCACAACAGGGGGACAGCCUUCGGAAACGAGGAUUAAUACCCCAUAACACAGGGGUACCGCCUGGUACUAUUUGUUAAAGGUUUCGGCCGGUUGUGGAUGGGCAUGCGUCCCAUUAGCUAGUAGGCGGGGUAACGGCCCACCUAGGCGAUGAUGGGUAGGGGUUCUGAGAGGACGGUCCCCCACACUGGUACUGAGAUACGGACCAG
rnacentral:rRNA from 1 species